GUAUGUGAAGUUGAUGACAGCCAGAAAAAGAAACUUGAAAACGUGAAAAAAUAACUUUCUUUGUCAAAGGGAACAUUAUCAACAUUUUUUUCCAACAAUUCAAACAAUGCAUCACUGCACUGUGUAGAACACAGCAUGUGGGAAGAUCUUAGUAUUUACUGAUGCUGCUUUCACUCCACUUCCCAGGUCAUUAUAGAUCUCCCAGGCAUAUGCAGUCCUCCUGCAGUAUGCCACAUAAUGCCCGAGAGAAUCCUGGGUCAGUCCUGGUUCAAAGCCAAUGACUGCUCUCAAAGUAAAGGUCUUCUCUUUUAGCUCCAGACUGGAGGGAAAUUCAAGCAAGGCAACUUCCUUGCAACUGCUACCAAGAGUUUUGAAUGAAGACGGACACCGGGAAGGAUUUUUGGCGUUCAGUGAAUCAUUCAAUUUGUCAUUUAUUUAAUACUACUACUUUUAUUUUCUAGAGAUGUCAAAUCCUUACUCCAUGGAUUGUUAAUUACCAUUUUUUCCGUGUAUAGUGCGCAAAAUUUAACAAAUUUAUUGUCCUAAAAUCUGGGGUGCGUAUUAUACAUAGGUACAAAAAAAAAAAUGUUUAAUUUUUUUUUCUUUAAUUUUUUUUCAUUUUAUUUUUUUUAAAGAAAGUCAUGGUACAACAAAACCAACAACAGAACUGACCGACAAAGUCGUGGAACAAAAAGAUAGGGUGACAUUACCAAAGACAGGAACAGAAUGACAGUAACACAUGCAAUGAUCCAACGGUGAGCGAGGGGCAGACAGGACUUAAAUACAAAACACGUUACAUCGAUUGAGGUGACACAGGAAGAGAGGGGCGACGCGAACAGAAACUAUGGCAACCUAGACACAUAGCAAAACUGGGGACGAGACAUGACAAAUCUCCCCCGAAAUAAAACUCACCUUUCUUCUUGUUUGUUGUCAAUCGCGCAUCGCAUUCAGCCAUCCUGCCCAACACACUUAGUCAAAAAAAUCCAUAAUUGACGACACAUCGUUUGAUGCGAUGGUGCAAUCCUUGAUGGUGUGUUAUUGUCAAAUAUUGUUUGUUUUUAAUCUCCAUCGCGGACCGGACGUCAUACGGAGGCCGCCAUUACAGAUG